rnacentral:snRNA from 1 species
AGCUUUGCACAGUGGCAGUAUCAUAGCCAAUGAGGUUUAUCUGAGGCGCGAUUAUUGCUAAUUAAAAUUUAACAAAAAGAUGUUUUAAUUUUAUUUUAACAUUGAAGGAAAAAUUGAAUAUAAC